rnacentral:rRNA from 1 species
GACGGGGGGGGCAAGUGUUCUUCGGAAUGACUGGGCGGAAAGGGCACGUAGGCGGUGAAUCGGGUUGAAAGUGAAAGUCGCCAAAAAGUGGCGGAAUGCUCUCGAAACCAAUUCACUUGAGUGAGACAGAGGAGAGUGGAAUUUCGUGUGUAGGGGUGAAAUCCGUAAAUAUACGAAGGAACGCCAAAAGCGAAGGCAGCUCUCUGGGUCCCUACCGACGCUGGGGUGCGAAAGCAUGGGGAGCGAACAGG